GCCUGGGUGGCUCAGUCGGUUAAGCGUCUGACUUCAGCUCAGGUCAUGAUCUCACAGUUCGUGAGUUCAAGCCCCACGUCGGGCU
rnacentral:tRNA from 1 species